rnacentral:rRNA from 1 species
GACGAACGCUGGCGGCGUGCCUAAUACAUGCAAGUCGAACGCUUUUUCUUUCACCGGAGCUUGCUCCACCGAAAGAAAAAGAGUGGCGAACGGGUGAGUAACACGUGGGUAACCUGCCCAUCAGAAGGGGAUAACACUUGGAAACAGGUGCUAAUACCGUAUAACACUAUUUUCCGCAUGGAAGAAAGUUGAAAGGCGCUUUUGCGUCACUGAUUGAUGGACCCGGGGGGCAUUGGCUAGUUGGUGAGGUAACGGCUCACCAAGGCAACGAUGCAUAGCCGACCUGAGAGGGUGAUCGGCCACACUGGGACUGAGACACGGCCCAGACUCCUACGGGAGGCAGCAGUAGGGAAUCUUCGGCAAUGGACGAAAGUCUGACCGAGCAACGCCGCGUGAGUGAAGAAGGUUUUCGGAUCGUAAAACUCUGUUGCUAGAGAAGAACAAGGAUGAGAGUAAAACGUUCAUCCCUUGACGGUAUCUAACCAGAAAGCCACGGCUAACUACGUGCCAGCAGCCGCGGUAA